UAAAGUAAAAUAGAAGGAAAUCUAGUGGUAAAGAGGUGAUUUCACUUCCUGGCAUUUUGCCUAGACUGACCAUUUAAGAGAGAGUCUUGAAGUAUUUGCUUGAAAAUAGGCAAGGAAUACAAGCAAGUAAGAAUAAAUUCAAGAGAGAGCAGCUGUGAGAUGGAGAGGCAGCAGAUGUUGUCUACACAAGCAGUUAAUUCAGAAUGAAAAAAAUAAAAGGAAGGAAGAGUAUUCUGAGCCUAGUGAAUUAAUUGUUUUGAAGGUCAUAAGAGAAGAGACUGAUAUAGAAACCUGCCUAAGACUGCCUGAUCUUUUCCAGAAGCAUGGGGUUUUUGCUUCAUAUCCCUGCUCCACAAUCUGUCAGAGGAAGGAUUUGAACUUAUAUCUCUGACAUUCAAAUUUCAGAGAGGAAGCACCUCAAACUCUGAGUCGUACAGUGACUUACAAGGAGUUCCCAAAGGAAGACAACCCAAGGGCAAGAAGACAACCAUGUCUGAGACCUUAGGAGCUGAAAAAGAAGGCAAACCCUGUCAAAUUUUCCAUAUUGAAGUUUACCUUCAACUCUGAACAGUGACAGUCUAGCACUGCCCUCCACAACCUUCAUGUCAGAGGUAGCAAUGUAGGACUGUGUAACAAUAAAAUCAAUGAACACAAAGCA